CAAUAGCGUAUAUUAAAGUUGUUGCGGUAAAAAAGCUCGUAGUUGGAUUUCUAUCGAAGAUAGCCGGUCGGGUCUUCGACCUUGUAUCUGGUUUUGUCUUUGGUAUCCUCAUAGGGAACGUUUCUGCGCUUUAUUGCGUGGUGCGGUAUCUAUGACUUUUACUUUGAGGAAAUUAGAGUGUUCACGGCAGGCAAACGCCUUGAAUAUAUUAGCAUGGAAUAAUAACAUAGGAUCUUCGUCCUAUUUUGUUGGUUUCUAGGGCUAAGAUAAUGAUUAAUAGGGAUAAUUGGGGGCAUCUGUAUCAACGCGUCAGAGGUGGAAUUCUUGGAUUGCGUUGCGACAAACUACUGCGAAAGCAUUUGCCAAGGAUGUUUUCAUUGA
rnacentral:rRNA from 1 species